UAUGUAACGAAAAAUAUAAUUAUGACGAAUGUAGUUUUUAAAAAAAAUUGUUAAUUGUUUAACAAUUUUUUAAAUUAUAUUUUAUUGCCAUUGAAUAUUAAUAUUAAUUGUUUGGUUAUUUCAGAACAAAAUUAUGGCAUACCAGCUGCACCAAUUCCAGUGACAACUAUGGAAAUGAUGAGGCGAAACCAAGAAAAUGAUUAUGACAUACCACCUGCACCAAUUCCGGUCACCACAACUAUGGAGAUCAUAAGGCAAAACCAAGCACAUAACAUAUUUCCUACACAAUAUGAAAACGCAAAAACGAUGAUGAUGCGCACCCAGAUGGUUUUACAACUCUUACGACAAAUCAAAAUUGA